rnacentral:rRNA from 1 species
AGUGAACGCUGGCGGUAGGCCUAACACAUGCAAGUCGAACGGCAGCACCCUAAGAGCUUGCUCUUACGGGUUGCGAGUCGCGGACGGGUGAGGAAUACAUCGGAAUCUACUUUUUCGUGGGGGAUAACGUAGGGAAACUUACGCUAAUACCGCAUACGCCUUACGGGUGAAAGUAGGGGAUCUUCGGACCUUGCGCGAUUGAAUGAGCCGAUGUCGGAUUAGCUAGUUGGCGGGGUAAAGGCCCACCAAGUCGACGAUCCGCAGCUGGUCUGAGAGGAUGAUCGGCCACACUGGAACUGAGACACGGUCCAGGCUGCUGCGGGAGGCAGCAGAGGGGAAUGGUGGGCAGUGGGCGCGAGCCUGAUACAGUGAUACCGCGUGGGUGGAGAAGACCUUCGGGGUGUAAAGCCCUUUUGUUGGGAAAGAAAAGCAGCAGCUUAAUACCCCGCUGUUCUGACGGUACUCGAAGAAUAAGCACCGGCUAACUUCGUG